UACGUAGGGGGCUAGCGUUGUCCGGAAUCAUUGGGCGUAAAGAGCGUGUAGGCGGCCCGGUAAGUCCGCUGUAAAAGUCAAAGGCUCAACCUUUGAAUGUCAGUGGAUACUGCCGGGCUAGAGUCCGGAAGAGGAGAGUGGAAUUCCUGGUGUAGCGGUGAAAUGCGCAGAUAUCAGGAAGAACACCAAUGGCGAAGGCAGCUCUCUGGGACGGUACUGACGCUGAGACGCGAAAGCGUGGGGAGCAAACAGG
rnacentral:rRNA from 1 species